rnacentral:rRNA from 1 species
GACGAACGCUGGCGGCGUGCCUAAUACAUGCAAGUUGAGCGCUGAAGGUUGGUACUUGUACCAACUGGAUGAGCAGCGAACGGGUGAGUAACGCGUGGGGAAUCUGCCUUUGAGCAGGGGACAACAUUUGGAAACGAAUGCUAAUACCGCAUAAAAACUUUAAACACAAGUUUUAAGUUUGAAAGAUGCAAUUGCAUCACUCAAAGAUGAUCCCGCGUUGUAUUAGCUAGUUGGUGAGGUAAAGGCUCACCAAGGCGAUGAUACAUAGCCGACCUGAGAGGGUGAUCGGCCACAUUGGGACUGAGACACGGCCCAAACUCCUACGGGAGGCAGCAGUAGGGAAUCUUAGGCAAUAGACGAAAGUCUGACCGAGAAACGCCGCGUGAGUGAAGAAGGUUUUCGGAUCGUAAAACUCUGUUGGUAGAGAAGAACGUUGGUGAGAGUGGAAAGCUCACCAAGUGACGGUAACUACCCAGAAAGGGACGGCUAACUACGUG